rnacentral:lncRNA from 1 species
GUAAGUGAUGAUGAAAAGUGAAUAUUUAGUGCUGAUAGGGCUCCUAAAAUAAUACAGAUAAUAUUCCUUCUGGGUAUGAUGGCCCCGCCCCUGCACUUGGCCCACUUCCCAGGUCUCCCCAGUGGAGCUGGACGCUGGCCUCCUUACAUUGACCACUAGAUGGCGUCAGUUCCCCAGGCAACGGGGAAAGCAAAUGCUCCCGGCUCACCCUGUGGUUCCAGCCUCCUUCCCAGUUCCUCCCCUCAGACCCAGCGCUCUGUGAGCCCAGUGGCUGUGGCCGUGCUCAGCUGGCAUGAUACUCGGGCUCCAGGGAACAGCUUGCUUCAACAGGGUGCCUUUUCUCCUGCCAGGAGAGGGCAAGGUGCAGUGGGUGGCACUGGUCCCAUUGCAUCCUCCAGCAACCUCACCACCCUGAGCCAGCAGUGGCUCCAGUCCUGCUGGCCUGACGGGCCCCUCUGAGGCGACUCAUGGCCCCAUCUGGAAAGCUGCUCCUGCUCCCACCCUGGAGUGGGACACCUCGAUGCUGGCGCCUGCUCCAUGCCUCUCCUUUUCCUAAUCCUGCAAGCGUGCUCAGCCAAGAUGAUCCAGCCCUUCUCCAGUAUUACAGAGUCUCAUUUAUUCAUUCAACAAACAUCUAGAGCCUGCAGGUUGCGGUGCCGGUGAGGAGGGACAGGAGUGAGGCUUCUGUGAGGACCUCAGGAGGAAGACCGACUCUCUGCCAUCUCUCAAUCUCUCGGCCCUUCUGGGUCUAGGUUGAUGAAUGAAUAAACGAACCUCUGAGAAGGGGCUUGCCCG